rnacentral:rRNA from 1 species
GACGAACGCUGGCGGCGCGCCUAACACAUGCAAGUCGAGCGGGAAGCUUUUUAAGGAUUCUUCGGAUGAAUUAAAAAGUGGAGAGCGGCGGACGGGUGAGUAACGCGUGAGAAACCUGCCCUAUACAGGGGGAUAGCCAUUGGAAACGAUGAUUAAUACCCCAUAUGACCACGGUAUCGCAUGAUACAGCGGUGAAAACUCCGGUGGUAUAGGAUGGUCUCGCGUCUGAUUAGCUAGUUGGUGGGGUAACGGCCUACCAAGGCGACGAUCAGUAGCCGGCCUGAGAGGGUGAUCGGCCACAAGGGGACUGAGACACGGCCCUUACUCCUACGGGGAGGCAGCAGUGGGGAAUAUUGGACAAUGGACCAAAAGUCUGAUCCAGCAAUUCUGUGUGCACGAUGAAGGUUUUCGGAUCGUAAAGUGCUUUCAGUAGGGAAGAAAAAAUGACGGUACCUACAGAAGAAGCGACGGCUAAAUACGUGCCAGCAGCCGCGGUAAUU